GUUCUUUUGAGGUUGAUUAGGGCUGCACGAUUAAUCGAAUGCGAUUGUCAUGCGCAUUUUGUUAGUAAAGCAGGUUCUGUAAUCAGCACUAAAUCAUCAUCUCGUGCUUUCAGAUGGAGCAGCAUUUACUACACAGAGCCGUA